AACGCUUCUCGGCCUUUUGGCUAAGAUCAAGUGUAGUAUCUCACCACCAACUCAUCAUACAACCAACU
rnacentral:snRNA from 1 species